rfam:Triticum aestivum genome assembly, contig: Triticum_aestivum_CS42_TGACv1_scaffold_175117_2DL
CUUGUGCUCCCUCCGUCCGAAAAUACCUGUCAUUAAAAUGUAUGUAUCUAGAUGUAUUUUAGCUCUAGACACAUCCAUUUUGAUGACAAGUAAUUUCGGACGGAGGGAGUACUUG